rnacentral:rRNA from 1 species
UACGUAGGUGGCGAGCGUUGUCCGGAAUAACUGGGUGUAAAGGCGAGUAGGUGGGAUAGGAAGUCAGGUGUGAAAUUUAUUAGCUCAACUAAUAAGCUGCAUCUGAAACUGAUAUUCUUGAGUGCUGGAGAGGGAAGCGGAAUUCCUAGUGUAGCGGUGAAGUGCGUAGAUAUUAGGAGGAACACCAGUGGCGAAGGCGGCUUUCUGGACAGUAACUGACACUGAGGCGCGAAAGCGUGGGGAGCGAACA